AUGGACGACACGAGAGUCGUGCGGAAAUUUCUCCGUGUCGUGCCACCUCGCUUCGCUCAGGUAGCAAUCUCCAUCGAGACCUUGCUUGACCCGAGUGAGCUCUCCAUCGAGGAGCUCACGGGCCGGUUGCGGGUGGUCGAGGACUGCCUUGAGGACGGCCGUGAGAUCUUUGGAGGAGAACAACUCCUAUUCUCGAAGAAGUGGGAGGCGAGGAAGCGUCAAGGACGUGGUGGAGGUGCCCCAAGCAACGGAGGCGACACUGGCAGAGGCGGUGAUCGCACCCAGGGCGAAGCCGGACGAGCUUGCGUCGAGACCAUGCAGGAGGGCGCAGCGCCUCUGAAGACCAUGGUCCCGACAAGCAUCGAAGCCGUGCAGGAGGGCGCAUUACCUCUGGCGACCACGGUGCCGGCAACCGUCAAGUCCGUGCAGGAGGCACGGAGCUCUUCAACUGAUCCCCUCCCAACAUCGGUAGCGCUUUCCCCGACAACAGCGUUCUCGGGGGCCUACGACUAG
rnacentral:rRNA from 1 species